GAUGAACGCUGGCGGCGUGCCUAAUACAUGCAAGUCGAACGCUGAAGGAGGAGCUUGCUCUUCUGGAUGAGUUGCGAACGGGUGAGUAACGCGUAGGUAACCUGCCUGGUAGCGGGGGAUAACUAUUGGAAACGAUAGCUAAUACCGCAUGACAACAGUUAUUGCAUGAUAACUGUUUAAAAGGGGCAACUGCUCCACUACCAGAUGGACCUGCGUUGUAUUAGCUAGUUGGUGUGGUAACGGCUCACCAAGGCGACGAUACAUAGCCGACCUGAGAGGGGGAUCGGCCACACUGGGACUGAGACACGGCCCAGACUCCUACGGGAGGCAGCAGUAGGGAAUCUGGGGCAAUGGACGGAAGUCUGAGCGAGCAACGCCGCGUGAGUGAAGAAGGUUUUCGGAUCGUAAAGCUCUGUUGUAAGAGAAGAAAGAGUGUGAGAGUGGAAAGUUCACAGUGUGACGGUAUCUUACCAGAAAGGAACGGCUAACUACGUG
rnacentral:rRNA from 1 species